rnacentral:rRNA from 1 species
AGGGUGACAGCCCCGUACACAAAAAUGCACAUGCUGUGAGCUCGAUGAGUAGGGCGGGACACGUGGUAUCCUGUCUGAAUAUGGGGGGACCAUCCUCCAAGGCUAAAUACUCCUGACUGACCGAUAGUGAACCAGUACCGUGAGGGAAAGGCGAAAAGAACCCCGGCGAGGGGAGUGAAAAAGAACCUGAAACCGUGUACGUACAAGCAGUGGGAGCACGCUUAGGCGUGUGACUGCGUACCUUUUGUAUAAUGGGUCAGCGACUUAUAUUCUGUAGCAAGGUUAACCGAAUAGGGGAGCCGAAGGGAAACCGAGUCUUAACUGGGCGUUAAGUUGCAGGGUAUAGACCCGAAACCCGGUGAUCUAGCCAUGGGCAGGUUGAAGGUUGGGUAACACUAACUGGAGGACCGAACCGACUAAUGUUGAAAAAUUAGCGGAUGACUUGUGGCUGGGGGUGAAAGGCCAAUCAAACCGGGAGAUAGCUGGUUCUCCCCGAAAGCUAUUUAGGUAGCGCCUCGUGAAUUCAUCUCCGGGGGUAGAGCACUGUUUCGGCAAGGGGGUCAUCCCGACUUACCAACCCGAUGCAAACUGCGAAUACCGGAGAAUGUUAUCACGGGAGACACACGGCGGGUGCUAACGUCCGUCGUGAAGAGGGAAACAACCCAGACCGCCAGCUAAGGUCCCAAAGUCAUGGUUAAGUGGGAAACGAUGUGGGAAGGCCCAGACAGCCAGGAUGUUGGCUUAGAAGCAGCCAUCAUUUAAAGAAAGCGUAAUAGCUCACUGGUCGAGUCGGCCUGCGCGGAAGAUGUAACGGGGCUAAACCAUGCACCGAAGCUGCGGCAGCGACGCUGAUGCGUUGUUGGGUAGGGGAGCGUUCUGUAAGCCUGCGAAGGUGUGCUGUGAGGCA